rnacentral:rRNA from 1 species
CUGACCUCGAAUCAGGUAGGAAUACCCGCUGAACUUAA